rnacentral:lncRNA from 1 species
AGCUCUAAUGUGGCGGCGGCCGGUGGUCGACUUUCUUCUCCAGCGUCUGGUUCUUCUUCUCCAAGGAGGGCUGGUGCAGCUAGGGUUAGGAUUCCCUGGAACGCAAUACUUAAAUACCCAUCUCGUAUCGAUAUGGCCUGUUCGUUCAGAAAUAUGUGGCCCUCUCUUGUCUGUUGGAUCGAUCUUAUUCGAAGAAUGAAUCUGGACCACACGAUCGAAUUGAAUCUAACCGUUCGAUCACAUCUAAAGAGGGAAUGCAUCAGGGUCGUUCACGCGCACGGGAUAAGAUUUAGACCGUUGGAUCGUCGGGUACGUGGAUCGCUCACAUGGUGUCGAUGUCAGUGGGGUUGCCACGCAGCAUGCUUUGGUUCGCAGGGGCUAUUGACCGAGUCGUCCCAUGUGGCCAAACUUUCUCUUUUUGUGAUUUAGCCCCUGUUUUUACUUUUUAUUUCAAAAACACUUCUCUGAAUUCACAAUUUCACCCAUUUUCUCCAAAAUUAUUUUCAAUUUCGUCCC